UUUGUUUUCUUUCCCAUUUCUAACACCUUCAAAUUUGGACUACUCACUAUUUACUUUUGACCAUCUACUUGAUAGCCAUCAAUCGGAUAGUAAGGAUUGCUUGAUCAGUGUGAUUUUUAAGAUGCUUCACCCAUAAUGAGUUAUUAGACCCACAAUUUCGAUGAUCUGUAUAGCUGCACAUCAAAUGUUUUUGGGUUAGAUUUGGGCAGUUUUGGAUAUUCUAUUUAUGUGAUUUUAGUGUUGUAGUAGGUAAUUAGAUUUGUGCAGUUUUGGAUAUUCUAUUUAUGUGAUUUUAGUGUUGCAGCAGGUAAUUUGAUUUGGGCAGUUUUGGAUAUUCUAUUUAUGUGAUUUUAGUGUUGCAGCAUGUAAUUAGAUUGUUUCGGGGGUAGCAUCAGUGUGCCUUUGUUAUUGACCCAAAAGAUAUUGACAAUGGCUUCAAUGGACUGGUUUUGCAUCUUUCAACGGACAAUAUCCUGGCUUAUUGUCUAUUCAAGCUUCUAAACGAGGCAUGAUUGUUCCAAUGCUUGAAGUUGUGAUAGCUGUUGUCCAUGUUGAGAAGCUUGUUGUACAUUUCCAUGACACAAAUGGGCAAUCUCUUUCAAAUAUUCUCAUUUCCAUCCAAGUAAAGUCUGCUACUGAACUUGCUUCAAGAGGCCUUCCAGUGGAUAAAGUUGAAGCAAUGGCUAUUGUAGGCCUUCUACAGUUUGUUGAUAUCUUGCAAUCUAGCAUGAAAUCAGCACUCAAGGAAGACCUUUACUAGUGUGCUGCAACCCUUUCCUUUUUCAAUAAACAGAAAAAGAAGGUUGUAACUCAGCGAAAGCGUACUAGACCAACCGAAAGCACUCAUCUUGAAGAGGUUUGAUUUUGUUCUCUCAAAUAGCUUGUGUUUUCCAUCAAUUAUAUUUGUGAAAAAAAUGGUUUCUACGUUUGUUUACGCUGCGUUUGGAUGCAUCAAAUUUCAUUAUAUUUUCCACCAGAUUAGAUUUAUUGAUCAUGAAAUUCAUGAUUUAGGUGCAACCAAAUACACCCUUAUGAUAAAUACAUGACCAUUUGUCUCCAUCAUUUGUAUUAAGCAUUCUUCUUGUUGAAUACACCCUUAUGAUAAUGCUUUGAUGGCUAGCAACUCUCGUUUUAGGCACAUCAAUAGAGUUUCAUUAUUUUGACUUGAUUCAACUGAAUGUUCACAAUUCAAUUUGGCUAUGCAUUUAUAUGCACCGUCAUAUUUCUACUAGUUAUUAUGCUGUGAUUAACACAUACACAUAUGCAUAGAGAUACAUGUACAUAUACAUAUACACAUACACACAUUUUCUGUGUUAUAUUGUUGAAGCUGUAGAGUUCUUGCUUAUCCCAUUGUUGAACAGGGGAUUGAGAUUUUUCUACUUGAACUAAAACAAUUUCAACUUUUCCUGAAGCAUGAACAUGAAAGGCAACCCCAUUUCCACUUCAGCAAACUGAU